UCUAUAAAUAACAGAAACAGAAUCUAUCUGUCUAUCUCUCUGUGUUUCGAAAGCGCUAUUAGGGUUAAAUCGAAAUUUGGGGCUUUUUAACCAGUCAAGCUUGAAAAUGCCUCGUUAUGAUGAUCGAUAUGGCAAUACGCGCCUAUAUGUUGGUCGUUUGGCUUCACGCACGCGUUCACGUGAUCUGGAACGCCUUUUCAGCAGAUAUGGCAGGUUUUCUGGGGUUUGGCCUUACUUGGAGGUCUAUGGUGAGAGGGUGGCCUUGGUGGAAUUGGUGGAAAUUCUUG